rnacentral:rRNA from 1 species
GCUCCAAUUUUACGACGACACCCGGACCACCAAGAUGCCGCCGUCCGCCAAGGGGCCACGUGUAGGGCGUCCUGGGCCCCCACCCAGGACGCCACGACCAAAUACUGCUGGCAGCGAGAGGUCGUGCCCGAUUUGUUGGUGCAAGACACGGCGCAGCGCUGGAAAGGCGGGGCACUCCUCCAGUGUUUGCUGCGUCGUGUCCACUCUUUCCCCGCAGUGGUGGCAUGCCGUCGCCGACUCCUUCCCGAGUCGACACAGGUAUUCACCGAAACAACCGUGUCCGGUGAACAUCUGCGUCAUACGGUAGAUGAGCCUAGCAUGACCUCUCUCCCGCCACUCUGUGAGUAGCGACAGGAGAGCCCCAACAACCGGCUUAUCGGUGUAACGACGCAGCUCGCAUCGCCACCGAUUUUCAGCCAGCUGUCAGGCCUGGCGCUUGAACGCCUCGAUUGCUGUGGGCUCUGGCGGGGCUCCAUUGAGCUGGCGGACAGCACGGACGCGCAUGUGGACCAACGCGUCCGCCGUCGCCAGCAUUUCAAAUGGUAUCAGGCCCGCCAGAGCCUUCGCCGCCGCGUAGGAGAUGGUGCGGUAUCACCUAAUGACCCUGAUAGCCAUCCUUCUUUGCAGCCGAUGCGCAUAUUAUAGUUGUUGCGGUUAAAAAGCUCGUAGUUGAAUGUGUGUGUCGCAGUGUCAGUUCGCCGCUCGCGGUGUUUAACUGGUAUUAUGCGAUACGUCCUACCGUUGGGUUUAGCUUCUCUUCGGGGUGGCGGCCCUAGUUAAAUAUCCCAUCGCACUGCUCUUCGCUGAGUGUUGAGGUGGGCCGGUACGUUUACUUUGAACAAAUUCGAGUGCUUAAAGCAGGCUAUCUUCGCCUGAAUAUUCUUUGUAUGGAAUAAUGGAAUAGGACUAUUUUGUUGGUUUUCGGAACCCCGAGGUAAUGAUUAAUAGGGACAGAUGGGGGCAUUCGUAUUGCGACGUUAGAGGUGAAAUUCUUGGAUCGUCGCAAGACGGACAGAAGCGAAAGCAUUUGCCAAAAAUGUUUUCAUUAAUCAAGAACGCAAAGGACAGAAGCGAAAGCGUUUGCCAAAAAUGUUUUCAUUAAUCAAGAACGCAAGUUAGAUGUUCGAAGAGAAACCAAAGCUUUUGGGUUCCGGGGGAAGUAUGGUUGCAAAGCUGAAACUUAAAGGAAUUAACGGAAGGGCACCACCAGAAGUGUCGUCUGCGCCUUAAUUUGACUCAGUACGGGAAACCUCACCAGGCCCUGACACCGGAAGGAUUGACAGAUUGAUAGCUCUUUCUUGAUUCGGUGCAUGGGCGUUGUUAUUUGGUGGAGCGAUUUGUCUGGUUAAUUCCAAUAACGAACGAGACUCUAGCCUGUUAAAAAGACGUAAAUUAUGGUGUCUCGAAGACCCCCGACUUCGGUCGGUGUGAUUUUUACUACCAACGUACAAACAAAUCUUCUUAGAGGGACAAGCGGCUUCUAGUCGCACGAGAUUGAGCAAUAACAGGUCUGUGAUGCCCUUAAAUAUUCUGGGCUGCACGCGCGCUACGCUGAAGGAAUCAACGUGUUUUCCCUGACCGAAAGGUCCGGGUAACCCGCUGAACCUCCUUCGUGCUAGGGAUUGGGGCUUGAAAUUAUUCCCCAUGAACGAGGAAUUCCCAGUAAACGCUAAACGCGAGUCAUGAGGUCGCGUUGAUUACGUUCCUGCCCUUUGUACAUACCGCCCGUCACUACUACUGAUUGAAUGAUUUACUGAGGUCUUCGUACAGGUGCGCGGCAAUGUCUCGGCAUUGCCGAUGUUACCGGAAAGAUGACCAAACUUGAUUAUAUAGAGGAAGUAAAAGUCGUAACAAGGUUUCCGUAGGUGAACCUGCGGAAG